rnacentral:piRNA from 1 species
UCAUCCUUCUAUGGGUUGUUUCCUAUCGCCA